AAGCGAGAAGCAAAUAUGUUGCAAUCAGUUUCGACCUGAUCUUAGAUAAUUUUAUUAUCCCCGCUUU
rnacentral:tRNA from 1 species